GCCUUUUGAUUAUAAUAAGAGGUCCAGCCUGCCCAGUGAUAAAUUUAACGGCCGCGGUACCCUAACCGUGCAAAGGUAGCAUAAUCACUUGUUCUUUAAAUAAGGACUUGUAUCAACGGCAUCACGAGGGUUCUACUGUCUCCUCUCUCUAAUCGGUGAAACUGAUCUCCCUAUGAAAAAGUGGGGAUAAACUUAUAAGACGAGAAGACCCCAUGGAGCUUUAAAACCUAUAGCAACCUAGCAAAGCUAUAAAACUAUGCUCAAGGACUUUAGGUUGGGAGGACCACGGAGCACAAAAUAACCUCCGCAAUGAAAAGAAUAAAAUCUUUACCAAAGAGCCACAACUCCAAGAAUUAGAAAACUAACGUACAAUGACCCGAUAUCGAUCAAUGAACUAAGUUACCCUGGGGAUAACAGCGCAAUCCAUUCUGAGAGUUCAUAUCGACGAACGGGCUUACGACCUCGAUGUUGGAUCAGGGUAUCCUGGUGGUGCAGCCGCUACCGAAGGUUCGUUUGUUCAACGAUUAAAACCCU
rnacentral:rRNA from 1 species